CUACGGUGGGCGGGCCGUGGUGUUCGGGAAGACCGGUGAAAGCCCUUCGCGGGGCUCAGACCGGAGCGGCCCUCGCCACUGUGAUCGGGGAGUGUUCGUCCCAGUUGUGCACGGUCACUGUCCGCCGCCCGGCGGACGGGAAGGCCGGGACGGACACGCGCGCACCCGUAAGCCAGGAGACCGGCCACGGCACUUCACGAACUG
rnacentral:ncRNA from 15 species